rnacentral:rRNA from 1 species
GACCUGAGAGGGUGAUCGGCCACACUGGAACUGAGACACGGUCCAGACUCCUACGGGAGGCAGCAGUAGCGAAUCUUCCGCAAUGGGCGAAAGCCUGACGGAGCAACGCCGCGUGAGUGAUGAAGGUCUUCGGAUCGUAAAACUCUGUUAUCAGGGAAGAACAAAUGUGUAAGUAACUGUGCACAUCUUGACGGUACCUGAUCAGAAAGCCACGGCUAACUACGUGCCAGCAGCCGCGGUAAUACGUAGGUGGCAAGCGUUAUCCGGAAUUAUUGGGCGUAAAGCGCGCGUAGGCGGUUUUUUAAGUCUGAUGUGAAAGCCCACGGCUCAACCGUGGAGGGUCAUUGGAAACUG